rnacentral:misc_RNA from 1 species
GCCCAAUUAAAAUUCACCUCUCUCCCCGUGACCGUACGACUACCUGUGCCUUUUUCCUCUCUCUUCAAUGCCCUUUUUCUCUCUCUCUAAAGUAUAUGUUUCUGCGUCUGCAAUAUAGGGUUUAUGACCUCUUCCUACCUUGCAAAACCCUAAUUUUUUUAACCCAUGAAUAAUUCUUUUAGGUGCUGGUGGUAUAUUUAGAAUCACGCGAUGGAUGGAACAAUCAACAAUGAAGGAAGUGGUGGAGGCAGUGGGGAUGCUUCAACUAGUGGCACUGGUGGAGCACAAGCGCCUGCUGCUCCGGAGCCAAUUUCGGCGCAGGCAAAUGCACCGCCGCCGUUUCUAAGCAAGACUUAUGACAUGGUAGACGACCCCGCGACGGACGCGAUCGUUUCCUGGAGUCCGACGAAUAACAGCUUCGUGGUUUGGAACCCACCAGAAUUCGCGCGCGACCUGCUACCCAAGUAUUUCAAGCACAACAACUUCUCCAGCUUCGUUAGGCAGCUCAACACCUACGGUUUCCGGAAGGUUGAUCCAGACCGCUGGGAAUUUGCCAAUGAGGGAUUCUUGAGGGGUCAAAAGCA